rnacentral:rRNA from 1 species
UGCAUGGCCGUCGUCAGUUCGUACUGUGAAGCAUCCUGUUAAGUCAGGCAACGAGCGAGACCCACGCCCACAGUUGCCAGCGUACUCUCUGGAGUGACGGGUACACUGUGGGACCGCCGCUGCUAAAGCGGAGGAAGGAAUGGGCAACGGUAGGUCAGUAUGCCCCGAAUAUCCCGGGCUACACGCGAGCUACAAUGGUUGGUACAAUGGGUAUCUACCCCGAAAGGGGACGGGAAUCUCCUAAAACCAAUCUUAGUUCGGAUUGAGGGCUGCAACUCGCCCUCAUGAAGCUGGAAUCCGUAGUAAUCGCGUUUCAACAGAACGCGGUGAAUACGUCCCUGCUCCUU